rnacentral:rRNA from 1 species
GAUGAACGCUGGCGGCGUGCCUAAUACAUGCAAGUCGAGCGAACAGACGAGGAGCUUGCUCCUCUGACGUUAGCGGCGGACGGGUGAGUAACACGUGGAUAACCUACCUAUAAGACUGGGAUAACUUCGGGAAACCGGAGCUAAUACCGGAUAAUAUAUUGAACCGCAUGGUUCAAUAGUGAAAGACGGUUUUGCUGUCACUUAUAGAUGGAUCCGCGCCGCAUUAGCUAGUUGGUAAGGUAACGGCUUACCAAGGCAACGAUGCGUAGCCGACCUGAGAGGGGGAUCGGCCACACUGGAACUGAGACACGGUCCAGACUCCUACGGGAGGCAGCAGUAGGGAAUCUUCCGCAAUGGGCGAAAGCCUGACGGAGCAACGCCGCGUGAGUGAUGAAGGUCUUCGAAUCGUAAAACGCUGUUAUUAGGGAAGAACAAAUGUGUAAGUAACUAUGCACGUCUUGACGGUACCUAAGCAGAAAGCCACGGCUAACUACGU